UUAUUGCUGGGUGGAUUUGAGGACUCUAUUGAAAGAGCCAACACUUGAUGCUGAGGUGUCACUAUGGAAAUUGAUCAUAAACAACGCGAAGCUCAACAUCUCGCCUGGAUCUUCAUUUAAUUGCCCCGAAGCAGGGUGGUUCCGAAUCUGUUUUGCGAAUAUCGAUGAUCGAACGGUGGAGAUCGCACUCAAAAGAAUUCAAAUAUUUGUGGAUGCUAAUAACGAUAUUAAUGAAAAUGGAAUCGUGAAGAACGCAUCAGUGAAAGGGAAAUGAUUUACAAAUAUAGACUUCAUGAACGAAAAGUAGUACGUAUAAUAAAAUUAAUAUUAUGAGCUUGAAUAUGUUGUCUCCUAAUUUUCUGAUUGCUAAGGAGAAUAAAGAAGAAAUUGAAGUUUUUUUUUUUUUUUUUUUUUUUUGUUAUAAAAAUUAUAUGAAAAAUGUUCGUACCGUGGCCUUAUUAUGAGUAAUAAUAAUGUUUUUUAUUUGAUCUUUACAAAUGCAUAUUUUUCCCUUGAAAAAAUGACACAAAUAAUUUCUUGUGACAAUUAAUUUUUCUCUAUCUGCUAUUGUUGCAACUUUGUAGUACUUGCUACUUUAUUUUUUAUCACACUCCAAUUAAAGACUAACAAAAUAUAAUGACCAAGUAACAAAUUUAUCACUACUUAUUAGUUACUCUCUCUGUCCACCACUGUUAGUUGUCAUGAUGCGUUUUUCAAAAGUCAAUUUGGCUAAUUUUCAAAGUUAAAUUAGAGUACAUUAGUUCGAUAUUUUAAACAAAAAAUUUAGAUAAUCAAAAACUAGACGAAAAGUACUAUAAAUUGUAUUUUUUUUUUUGCAUAUCAAUAUGAUAAAAAAAUACAUCAUAAAAUAUUAGUCAAAAUUCUUAUAGUUUGAUUCUAAAAAAGGAAAUUAUGACAAUUAAAAGUUGACGGAGGGAGUAUUAAGACUCUUUCUUGGGGAAUAAAUAAUUCAAAAGAUAAGAGUAAAGUUUAGUGGUUUUUGUGUUAGAAAAAACAGUUAAAUGUAUUGAUGAAAAAGAAUAAUCAUAGUUAUGUAAUUAUUUAAAGAAAUUUAAAUUUCAAGAAUCACAACUUCAAAAUACGACCAAACAUAAAACUAACCAUUUCCGUCAUUUUGAGUUUCACUUUCUCAAGCUCCGUCCAGUCUCCGACGACUUCUCCGACGAGUCCCUUGCCACCAUCUGUGUUUAUCUCUCUAUUUCCUUCAUCUUUCUUUUUAUAUUUACAUAUAAAGGUACCUUCAAAAAAGUAGUAGUUCUACUUAACUCCCUUUUUGACAAAACCAAAAAGUAGGGUGAGUAACUUUGCCAAUUGGGAGGAGAAGGUGACAAAAUAUUUAUGUAUUAUUCUAAAUAAUGAAGUCAAGUGGAUGUUCAUGUGGGG
rnacentral:lncRNA from 1 species